ensembl:snRNA U6 U6 spliceosomal RNA
GUCAUUUUAGCAGCACCUAUACUAAAACUGGAAUGAUACAGAGAAGAGUAGCAUCGCCCCUGUGCAAGGAUGAUACACAAAUUUGAGAAGCAUUCCAUGUUUUA